UGUUAUUAACUUCAGGGGAACAACUGAGUCAAGUGUGGAGGAGAGUGAAGCUGCCACUUCAUGUUCAACUAAAUCAACCUGAGUGGGGCUGAUACUGCUGUCCAUUGGGCCAACAGAUGGGAGUGAAGUUGAGGGUCAGCUCCGGUUAUUUU